UAUAAAGACUUGUGCUGCUGUUGAUCGGGAGCUAGAGCAGCACCAUAAGAUUGAUUCAUUCCAGAGUGGAACAACUGCCUUGACGAUUGUCAGACAAGAAGAACAUAUUUUUGUAGCAAAUGUUGGCGACUCUAGAGCUGUAUUGGCUACCACAUCAGAUGAUGGAAACUUGGUAGCAGUUCAGCUUACUGUUGAUUUCAAGCCCAAUUUACCUCGUCAGUUUGUUCCCUUCUCUUUUUCAUCUUCCUUUGAAAGCAAGAAAAGACUUGUUUCUCACAAUAAUUUUGGUCUUUCUUUUUUGCAGAGGAGUCUGAACGGAUACUUCAGUGCAAGGGACGAGUGUUCUGUUUG
rnacentral:misc_RNA from 1 species